CUACGGGAGGCAGCAGUGGGGAAUUUUGGACAAUGGGCGCAAGCCUGAUCCAGCCAUUCCGCGUGCAGGAUGAAGGCCUUCGGGUUGUAAACUGCUUUUGUACGGAACGAAAAGGUUCUCUCUAAUACAGGGGGCUGAUGACGGUACCGUAAGAAUAAGCACCGGCUAACUACGUGCCAGCAGCCGCGGUAAUACGUAGGGUGCAAGCGUUAAUCGGAAUUACUGGGCGUAAAGCGUGCGCAGGCGGUGAUGUAAGACAGAUGUGAAAUCCCCGGGCUCAACCUGGGAACUGCAUUUGUGACUGCAUUGCUGGAGUGCGGCAGAGGGGGAUGGAAUUCCGCGUGUAGCAGUGAAAUGCGUAGAUAUGCGGAGGAACACCGAUGGCGAAGGCAAUCCCCUGGGCCUGCACUGACGCUCAUGCACGAAAGCGUGGGGAGCAAACAGGAUUAGAUACCCUGGUAGUCCACGCCCUAAAGCGAUGUCAACUGGUUGU
rnacentral:rRNA from 1 species